GUUUUUAUAGUUUAAAAAAAACAUUGAUCUUGUAAAUCAAAAUUAGAUUUUUUUCUUAAAAACU
rnacentral:tRNA from 1 species